rnacentral:rRNA from 1 species
UACGUAGGGUGCGAGCGUUAAUCGGAAUUACUGGGCGUAAAGGGCGCGUAGGCGGCCGCCUAAGUCAGACGUGAAAUCCCUCGGCUUAACCGGGGAACUGCGUCUGAUACUGGAUGGCUUGAGUUCGGGAGAGGGAUGCGGAAUUCCAGGUGUAGCGGUGAAAUGCGUAGAUAUCUGGAGGAACACCGGUGGCGAAGGCGGCAUCCUGGACCGAUACUGACGCUGAGGAGCGAAAGCCAGGGGAGCAAACGGGG